AUGGAGUCAGGAGAAGGAGAUGGUGCUGGUGCUACUGCUGCAGCAACAACAGCAGAAGAGAGAGCAAAGAUUCUGAAGAGGAAUUCCGAUGAUAUGGGUUGGGCUUACGGCCAGCUUGUUGAUCCUAACAAUCUUCAGAGAGUGAUGUGCAAUUUCUGCAGUCAGAUUUUCACGGGAGGUAUUUACCGGCUGAAGCAACACAUUGCGGCAAACUCAAAUGCGGUGAGGACCUGCCUACGAUUAACAAGGCAGCAUGGGAGGAGAGAUCACUUCGAGCACAUGAAUACAUUGCAAGAUGGGUGUAUACACAUGGUAAGAGCUUGCUGCCCUUCUGAGUAUGCAAGAACCAAGAGUGAACUCAAGGACCGAGAGGUUGAGAAAGGCAAGCAUGGUUGCUCUCUCAUGACUGAUGCUUGGACUGACAUGAAGAGGAGAAGCAUUAUGAAUCUGGUCACACAUUGCUCGAAAGGUGUUAGCUUCAUCAAGUCAAAGGAAACAUCAGACACACCACAUACAAGUGAGAUGAUCUUCAAUCUAGUUGACAAAACAAUUGAAGAAUUAGGUGUUGAACAUGUGGUGCAGGUUGUGACUGACAAUGCUUCGAACAACAUGGGAGCUAAGGAUCUCUUGAAAGUGAAGAGGCCGAAGAUAUUUUGGAGCUCGUGUGCGACUCACACUGUCAAUUUGAUGCUCCAAGGGAUUGGCAACUUAGCUAAAAAGAUGGUGGGUUCCUCUAAGUGGGAUAAGAUCAAAGAUGUGCACUCAAAGAAAGGAAAGGAUGCUACAGCCAUAAUUCUCAACAAGCCGUUAUGGAAGGGUGUGAAUCUUUGCAUCAAGGUGUUCGAGCCGUUGGUGAAGGUCCUCCGGUUGGUUGAUGGUGAUGCACGGCCCUCAAUGGGCUUUGUGUAUGGAGAGAUUGUGAAGGCAAAGAAAGAAAUCAAAGAGGCCUUUGGUAACAUCGAGGCGCGGUACAAAGAUGUGUUAGCUAUAGUUGAAAAGAAAAUGAAAGAUAGGCUUGAUGCCCCACUGCAGUUGACUGCAUAUUUGUUGAAUCCACACUAUAGCUAUGCAGAUGACAGCAUAUUUGAUUCUGUUAACAUCAAUACAGCCUUUUAUUCUUUGGCUUGGUGGAGAAUGUAUGGAGGUGAGACACCAGGGCUGAAGGACAUGGCUAUGAAGAUCCUUUCUUUGACCUCAAGUUCUUCCGGUUGUGAGAGAAAUUGGAGUUGUUUUGAGUCGGGGGGAGAUGAUCAUGCUUUCAUGGUGUUUCCAGAUGGAGAUGAGGGAGCAGAUGGCAUACCUUGGAGUGUGGUUGGAGAUGCUAUGGGAACCAGUGAACAACUUGAGCUUCAUCGAAGUGCAAGGGUUAGAGAUCUCCAUGAUGAAGAGUUUGAGUCAGACGAAGAAGAAGUAGAGGAGACAGAUUCAGAGGAGGAAGACAUAGAGUACGGGGAUGAUGAAGAUGAAGUGGUGACUGGGCGCACUUAUGUGGAUGCGGACUAA
rnacentral:rRNA from 1 species